rnacentral:rRNA from 1 species
UACGAAGGGGGCUAGCGUUGUUCGGAAUUACUGGGCGUAAAGCGCGCGUAGGCGGACGCUUAAGUCAGGGGUGAAAUCCCGGGGCUCAACCCCGGAACCGCCUUUGAUACUGGGCGUCUGGAGUCCGGAAGAGGUUGGCGGAAUUCCGAGUGUAGAGGUGAAAUUCGUAGAUAUUCGGAGGAACACCAGAGGCGAAGGCGGCCAACUGGUCCGGUACUGACGCCGAGGCGCGAAAGCGUGGGGAGCAAACAGG